UACGUAGGGUGCGAGCGUUAAUCGGAAUUACUGGGCGUAAAGCGUGCGCAGGCGGCGCGUUAAGACAGGUGUGAAAGCCCCGAGCUUAACUUGGGAAUUGCGCUUGUGACUGGCGUGCUGGAGUGUGGCAGAGGGAUGUGGAAUUCCAGGUGUAGCGGUGAAAUGCGUAGAUAUCUGGAGGAACACCGGUGGCGAAGGCGGCAUCCUGGACCGAAACUGACACUGAGGCGCGAAAGCCAGGGGAGCAAACGGG
rnacentral:rRNA from 1 species